UACGUAGGUGGCAAGCGUUAUCCGGAAUUAUUGGGCGUAAAGCGCGCGCAGGCGGUUUCUUAAGUCUGAUGUGAAAGCCCCGGGCUCAACCUGGGAAUGGCAAUGGAUACUGGCGAGCUAGAGUGUGUCAGAGGAUGGUGGAAUUCCCGGUGUAGCGGUGAAAUGCGCAGAUAUCAGGAGGAACACCGGUGGCGAAGGCGGGUCUCUGGGCCGAUACUGACGCUGAGGAGCGAAAGCAUGGGUAGCGAACAGG
rnacentral:rRNA from 1 species